rnacentral:misc_RNA from 1 species
CUGAUAACGUAAUCAUGUCACACGGACAUCACGCUGUUAUUAGUUCGACCAUCUUCGGACAUACAACCGUAGUAUAUCGUAUGCAAACAUGCAACCGUGUUAAUAAGAGUAAAUGUGACCACCUUAUCAGUUAUUGAAAACACAUUUGACUGUGGUAAACAUGUAUGAAGUGGACACAGCCGUUAUGUUUAUGAAGUGGACACAGCCGUUAUGUUUAGCAUGGUAUUCGACCGCGACAUUUAGUGUAGACACAUGUAACUACGGCACGGACCCAUCCAUAUUGUGUUUGACGAAGAGAUUACUACGUCAUUUCCUGCAAACCAUCAUGUCGGACAUUCCAGGAAGUGGUAUCUACUGACGACCAACAUUACGUAAAGAUCGUUAGUAAUCCUGUGUAUACGAUUUGAGGGAAAACAAACGACCCAACAUGAGGGAUGAAAGAGAAAAGACGCCUCUUCUUACCACACUCGACUUGGAUUCGUUAAAGUUUUAUAAAGCGAAUAUUGCGUUAGAAAACGUGACGUCAUUUACGGGCCGUUACUUCCUUAUGGCUCCCUGUAUCCUCGUCCAUUUCUUUUCUUAUGUCUUCUAUAAUUUAGUUACCACGCAAUAUCUAUACGACUUCUUUGCACGAAAAUUAAUACAAAAUGUAACAGCAAUGGAAAUCAACCUGAAUGGAUCCCCGUGUACAAUCAUUGAGGAUUCUGUGUUGUACCAACAACGGACACUUAUACAGAAGGAGACAACGAAGGCGUCCCUCACCUUUGUAAUAGCAGGAUGUGCUCCAGCUCUCUUCAUGGACGUCAUCUUUGGUGUGCUUAGUGAUCGUUAUGGCAGAAAACUGUUUGUAAUCAUUUCUCUUAUUGGAACGUUUGUUAAGACGACAAUGACGAUGGUCGGGAUGCAUUAUAAGCUGAACGCUAGCUAUUUCAUAGUGUUCAUUGCCGUCGAGGGGUUUGCUGGUGGGUGGUGCGCGGUCAUCUCGCUUGGAUUCGCAUUUGUUUCAGAUGUGACGUCAGUGGAUAAAUCUAGAACUAAUUCAAUUUUCCUCAUUGAGAUAUCAGUUGGCCUCGGUUUGGUACUGGCUGGUGUCACUUCCGGUUACUUGAUUGACGGAGUAGGUUUCGUCUACGCCAUGAUGGUAUUAACAGUGCUAAAUGUACUCAAUAUAUUUAUCAUGUUGUUUUGCCUGCCAGACACAGUGAACGAGACCAACUGUGUUAAAGGCAGUUCACUCAGACUCCUCAGGAGUUCGUUUACCUUCUACACUCGGGACACUUCCGCUACAGCAAAACGCUGGAAGUAUAUUGUGUGUAUGUUCAUUUUCAUUUUCUUUAACUUCAGCGCGCUGAGUCGUCAAACAGUUGACCAACUAUACCAGCUCAACGUUCCUUUCUGUUGGGACGCCAUUAAAAUCGGUUGGUAUUCUAGCCUCAGCGAUGUAUCGCGCAAUGUGAUAGGUUUAGCCGUCAUCCGGGUACUCCAGCAUUACAUCUCUGACGAGUUGUUGGUGAUUGUGAGCGCAGUUUCAGGGUGUACGGCCUAUCUGGUGGAAGCGUUCGCUGUCAGUGACGUCAUGAUGUUCUUUGUACCGGUAGUGGGUGUAUUCUCCAUGGUGACUGGCCCAAUCCUAAGGUCCAUCAUGUCUAGGAUGACCCCGCCCGACAGACAAGGUGCACUGUUUGCUGGUCUGGCAAUGGUACAGACCCUCUGUACAAUUCUUGUUGACGUUCUGACCAAGACUGUUUAUCUUGCCACGGUAGAAACCGCCCGGGGGUCAGUCUUCCUCCUUUCAGCGGGCUUUUGUGCCCUCGUCCUCCUCUUUUUCGUGAUAUUCUCAUUGGCAUCGAGGAAGUCGGAGAAGGAAAUGGCUUUAAAUGGGUGACAGAAUGAUGAAACGAAUAAAUGAAAGGGAAUUGCGAUGAUUUAUCAAAUGUAAAAUGAGUUAUGGCAUUGUGUGUGUAAGUGACGCAAAUGUUACGACACAGCGUAGAUGAAAGCGAUGAAAUGACAAAUGUCGGAAAAAUGAAUCGAUGAAGAUCUUUCGUAUCAUGUUGUUAGUAAAUGAAAGGGGUGACCUUUUAUUGGUAAAUGAUGGACCGUGACAUUUCAUUCAAUCGAGGAGUUAACAUGGCAUUGUGCUGGUGAAGAAGGAGCAUGACUCAAUGUCGGUGAAAGAGAGGAGGGUAUGACAUCGUAUUGAUGAAGGGGUGAAAAUGAUUUAGUUGUGGAUGAAGGGGUGGACAUGACUUAGUUGUGGAUGAAGGGGUGAACAUGACCAAGUUGUGGAUGAAGGGGUGGACAUGACUUAAUUGUGGAUGAAGGGGUGAACAUGACAUAGUUGUGGAUGAAAGGAUGAACAUGACUUAGUUGUGGAUGAAGAGGUGAACAUGACAUAGUUGUGGAUAAAGGGGUGGACAUGACUUAGUUGUGGAUGAAGGGUUGAACAUGACAUAGUUGUGAAUGAAGGGGUGAACAUGACGUAGUUGUGGAUGAAGGGGUGUACAUGACUUAGUUGUGGAUGAAGGGGUGAACAUUACUUAGUUGUGGAUGAAGGGGUGAACAUGACCAAGUUGUGGAUGAAGGGGUGGACAUGACUUAGUUGUGGAUGAAGAGGUGGACAUGACUUAGUUUUGGAUGAAGGGGUGAACAUGACAAAGAUGUGGAUGAAGAGGAGAACAUGACUUAGUUGUAGAUGAAGAGGUGAACAUGACAUAGUUGUGGAUGAAUGGGUGAACAUGACUUAGUUGUGGAUGAAGGGGUGGACAUGACUUAAUUGUGGAUGAAGGGGGGAACAUGACAUAGUUGUGGAUGAAGGGGUGAACAUGACUUAGUUGUGGAUGAAGAGGUGGACAUGACUUAGUUUUGGAUGAAGGGGUGAACAUGACAAAGAUGUGGAUGAAGAGGUGAACAUGACUUAGUUGUGGAUGAAGAGGUGGACAUGACUUAGUUGUGGAUAAAGGGGUGAACAUGACAAAGAUGUGAAUGAAGGAAUGAAAAUGACAUAGUUGUGGAUUAAGGGGUGGGCAUGACUUAGUUGUGGAUGAAGGGGUGAACACGACAUAGUUGUGGAUGAAGGGAUGAACAUGACUUAGUUGUGGAUGAAAAGGUGAACAUGACAUAGUUGUGGAUGAAGGGAUGAACAUGACUUAGUUGUGGAUGAAAAGGUGAACAUGACAUAGUUGUGGAUGAAAGGGUGAACAUGACAUAGUUGUGGAUGAAGAGGUGAAAAUGACAUAGUUGUGAAUGAAGGGGUGAACAAGACAUAGUUGUGGAUGAAGGGGUGAACAUAACUUAGUUGUGGAUGAAGAGGUGAACAUGACAUAGUUGUGGAUGAAGGGUUGAACAUGACAUAGUUGUGGAUAAAGGGGUGGACAUGACUAAGUUGUGGAUGAAGAGGUGGACAUGACUUAGUUGUGGAUGAAGGGGUGAACAUGACAAAGAUGUGAAUGAAGGAAUGAAAAUGACAUAGUUGUGGAUGAAGGGGUGGGCAUGACUUAGUUGUGGAUGAAGGGGUGAACAUGACAAAGAUGUGGAUGAAGAGGUGAACAUGACUUAGUUGUGGAUGAAGAAGUGAACAUGACAUAGUUGUGGAUGAAGGGGUGAACAUGACUUAGUUGUGGAUGAAGAGGUGGACAUGACUUAGUUGUGGAUGAAGGGGUGAACAUGACAAAGAUGUGGAUGAAGAGGUGAACAUGACUUAGUUGUAGAUGAAGAGGUGAAUAUGACAUAGUUGUGGAUGAAGGGAUGAACAUGACAUAGUUGUGGAUGAAGGGAUGAACAUGACUUAGUUGUGAAUGAAGGGGUGAACAUGACUUAGUUGUGGAUGAAGGGGUGAAUAUGACAUAGUUGUGAAUGAAGGGGUGAACAUGAUUUAGUUGCGGAUGAAGGGGUGAACAUGACAUAGUUGUGAAUGAAGGGGUGAACAUGACUUAGUUGUGGAUGAAGGGGUGAACAUGACAAAGAUGUUGAUGGAGGGAUGAACAUGACUUAGUUGUGGAAGAAGGGAUGAACAUGACAUAGUUGUGGAUGAAGAGGUGAACAUGACUAAGUUGUGAAUGAAGGGAUGAACAUGACAAAGUUGUGGAUGAAGGGGUGAACAUGACAUAGUUGUGGAUGAAGGGGUGAACAUGACAAAGAUGUGGAUGAAGAGGUGAACAUGACCAAGUUGUGGAUGAAGAGGUGAACAUGACAUAGUUGUGGAUGAAUGGGUGAACAUGACUUAGUUAUGGAUGAAGGGGUGGACAUGACUUAGUUGUGGAUGAAGGGGUGAACAUGACUUAGUUGUGGAUGAAGAGGUGAACAUGACAUAGUUGUGGAUGAAGGGGUGAACAUGACUUAGUUGUGGAUAAAGAGGUGGACAUGAAUUAGUUGUGGAUGAAGGGGUGAACAUGACAAGGAUGUGGAUGAAGAGGUGAACAUGACAUAGUUGUGGAUGAAGAGGUGAACAUGACAUAGUUGUGGAUGAAGGGAUGAACAUGACAUAGUUGUGGAUGAAGGGUUGAACAUGACUUAGUUGUGAAUGAAGGGGUGAACAUGACUUAGUUGUGGAUGAAGGGGUGAACAUUUCUUAGUUGUGGAUGAAGGGGUGAACAUGACAUAGUUGUGAAUGAAGGGGUGAACAAGACUUAGUUGUGGAUGAAGGGUUGAACAUGACUUAGUUGUGAAUGAAGGGGUGAACAUGACUUAGUUGAGGAUGAAUGAGUGAAUAUGACAAAGUUGUGAAUGAACGAGACGACAUAAAUCAUGUUUGGGAAGAAGACAUGACAUUUAGCUGGUGAAAGAGGAAACAUGACAUUAAGCUGGUGAAAGAGGAAACAUGACAUUGUUUUGGUAAAGGAGGGGAAGUGAAGCAUCAUUGUUUAGGGAAUAUGAUUUCUUGUUCGCAUAUCUAUGUACUGCGGAGAAACUCUUUAACAAGGACAACAAAAGUCCGUCAUUUGACGAUGAGAAUACAUGUGUAUAAUUGUUGAAUUUAGAUGUGAACAUGAUACGUGAUGGAAAAUUGUUGAGAUGCUCCGUGUUUCUGUACAAUAAAUCACGGGAUGUUUUAAAAUGUAAAUAAAACAUGUA